rnacentral:rRNA from 1 species
UACAGAGGGUGCAAGCGUUGUUCGGAAUUAUUGGGCGUAAAGGGUGCGUAGGUGGCGUGGCAAGUCAGAUGUGAAAGCCCGGGGCUCAACCUCGGAAUUGCAUCCGAUACUGCCAUGCUGGAGUACUGAAGAGGUGACUAGAAUUCUCGGUGUAGCAGUGAAAUGCGUAGAUAUCGAGAGGAAUACCAAAGGCGAAGGCAGGUCACUGGGCAGUUACUGACACUGAGGCACGAAGGCCAGGGGAGCAAACGGG